UAGUCCACGCCGUAAACGAUGUCAACUAGCCGUUGGUUCCAUUUAAGGGAUCAGUGGCGCAGCUAACGCGAUAAGUUGACCGCCUGGGGAGUACGCCGCAAGGUUAAAACUCAAAUGAAUUGACGGGGGCCCGCACAAGCGGUGGAGCAUGUGGUUUAAUUCGAUGCAACGCGAAGAACCUUACCUACUCUUGACAUACUGAGAACUUUCCAGAGAUGGAUCGGUGCCUUCGGGAGCUCAGAUACAGGUGCUACAUGGCUGUCGUCAGCUCGUGUCGUGAGAUGUUGGGUUAAGUCCCGCAACGAGCGCAACCCUUGUCCUUAUUGCCAUCAUUAAGUUGGGCACUCUAAGGAGACUGCCGGUGACAAACCGGGAGGAAGGUGGGGACGACGUCAAGUCAUCAUGGCCCUUACGAGUAGGGGCUACACACGUGCUACAAUGGGACAGUACAGAGGGAAGCGAACUUGCGAGAGUAAGCGGACCCUUAAAGCUG
rnacentral:rRNA from 1 species